rnacentral:rRNA from 1 species
UACGUAGGUGACAAGCGUUGUCCGGAUUUACUGGGCGUAAAGAGCGCGCAGGCGGUCGUUCAAGUUGAGUGUGAAAGCCCCCGGCUCAACUGGGGAGGGUCACUCGAUACUGAUCGACUCGAAGGCAGGAGAGGGUAGUGGAAUUCCCGGUGUAGUGGUGAAAUGCGUAGAUAUCGGGAGGAACACCAGUGGCGAAGGCGACUACCUGGCCUGUUCUUGACGCUGAGGCGCGAAAGCUAGGGGAGCAAACGGG